CUGAAUGACAGGGGUGAAGCCUCUCCCACUAGGCUGCAGGGCAUCAUGGGAUGACUGUGAAGCAGAAAUUUAUUGUGUUGAGUCACUGACCAUGUUGAGAGUGUUUAUUACAGAGGUUGAACUACUGUGAGUAAUACACAGGUUACUAUGGACAUUUUACACUUUUAAGGUGAGGUUUUUAGAUCAUUUGAAGUAGUGAUUUGACUCAGACAAGAAUAUUUCUCACAGAUCGAGAGUCCUAGGGAGAAAAUUCUGAAAUGAAGGUUAGAAUGCAGGAAAGUUAUGGGGAAGUGACUCUUUGAUCAAUAUCUAUGGACAAGUGCAAGCAGCAGGAUCUGACUACAGUCACUGUGUCUCAGUGACAAACGCCUCUGCCGGUUCAAAGGGACCUUUACAGGGAGGAUGUUCCUUUCAGACAUGUCUCAAGCUGAGAUGUGUUCUCCAAGCCCACUGUUCUCCUGCACAAGGGCCAGUUUUUGGAUCUGAGCACUCCUGGGAAAGGAGAGGAAUGAGCCCUCGAUAACUAAACUGCUAUGGCCAGCAAAAUCAAUGCUUCAGAAUUAAAGUAUCCUGACAAGUGACUAUCUGCAAAAUUCCACAGAGAAUCACUCACUUCUUCAUUGGUUCCAACAAAUAGUCACCAAAUUCGUCUGCCAGUCACAAUCAAAAGUGUUUGGAUGCCUAAGUGCCUCAGUGCAUAUAACCAACAUCCCUCAUGGUCCUUAGGCCUUGUGAGAGGAGAAAGGAAGUGAGAAAACCAACAGUCAAUAGUAAUUGCAUUUCAGGGCACUGUGGGUGCAGGGGAGACGAGCAGACUGGAGAUCAAGAGAGCUGACGGAAUAGCUGGUCUACUGCCCGAAGGCUCACUGCAAAGACAAGAGGAAGUUCUUUCUGACUAUCUGGGCAAAGAAUGCUGCUGCCUGAAGGAACAGCCGCACAAAACCUUAUCUGCCUGCUCUCUGGAGACGUAGGAACAGGUGGAGAGGUAGAGGGAGAAAUUAUGCUCUGUACGGGUUUAAUAAUAGCCAUAUUUGACCCCCACAGAAAA